rnacentral:rRNA from 1 species
UGGGGAAUAUUGCACAAUGGGGGAAACCCUGAUGCAGCGACGCCGCGUGAAGGAAGAAGUAUUUCGGUAUGUAAACUUCUAUCAGCAGGGAAGAAAAUGACGGUACCUGACUAAGAAGCCCCGGCUAACUACGUGCCAGCAGCCGCGGUAAUACGUAGGGGGCAAGCGUUAUCCGGAUUUACUGGGUGUAAAGGGAGCGUAGACGGCACGGCAAGUCUGAUGUGAAAGCCCGGGGCUCAACUUCGGGACUGCAUUGGAAACUGUUGAGCUGGAGUGCAGGAGAGGUAAGCGGAAUUCCUAGUGUAGCGGUGAAAUGCGUAGAUAUCUGGAGGAACACCGGUGGCGAAGGCGGCCACCUGGCCCGGUAUUGACGCUGAGGUGCGAAAGCGUGGGGAGCAAACAGGAUUAGAUACCC